ACCAACUCCGAAACCAAGGAAGAAGAAUAUGCAAGAAGCAGUUCUAUAGUGCCAUUAGGAGAAAGGAAGAAGGUCGAUAGGCCAAGGAAGAAUAAGGAGGAUGGGGAACAGGGGAGCAGUACCUCAGUGAAGAGGAAGGUGGUGGAUGGAGAACAAAAGACUUCUUCUGUGCCAAUAGAAGAGUAACAACUGAACGAUGUGGCAAGGGAAGAUCAUUGAUGAAGUAAAUAAAUUAAUAUAAGAGACUAAAAUUAGUACUUUCACUCUUGAGCAGACUAUUAGAAUUAACUUCUUUUACCUUGUUGUAUAUAUGGUGAAGUAACAUAUUUAACCUUAUUAUGUAAUAUGUAAAACAAUGAACGACAUAAACCAUUUAUCA